rnacentral:rRNA from 1 species
GGGGAAUAUUGGGCAAUGGGGUCAAUCUCUGACCCAGCGACGCCGCGUGAGGGAAGACGGCCUUCGGUUUGUAAACCUCUGUUGUACGGGAAGAAGGAAGUGACGGUACUGUACGAAUAAGUCCCGGCUAACUACGUGCCAGCAGCCGCGGUAAUACGUAGGGGACGAGCGUUGUCCGGAAUUACUGGGCGUAAAGGGCGCGCAGGCUGUGCUGCAAGUCAGCUGUGAAAUAUCUGGGCUUAACCUGGAUAUGCGGUUGAGACUGCAGUGCUGGAGUGCUGUAGAGGCAAGUGGAAUUGCCCAGUGUAGCGGUGAAAUGCGUAGAUAUUGGGAGGAACACCGGUGGCGAAGGCGACUUGCUGGGCAGCAACUGACGCUGAGGCGCGAAAGCCAGGGGAGCAAACGUGGAUUAGAUACCCCGGUAGUCCUGGCCGUAAACGAUGAAUGCUAGGUGUGGGUGUAGAGAUACAUUCGUGCCGGAGUUAACGCGAUAAGCAUUCCGCCUGGGGAGUACGGUCGCAAGAUUGAAACUCAAAGGAAUUGACGGGGGCCCGCACAAGCGGUGGAGCACGUGGUUCAUUCGAUGCAAACCGAAGAACCUU